rnacentral:rRNA from 1 species
GACGAACGCUGGCGGCGUGCCUAAUACAUGCAAGUGGGACGCAAGGAAACACACUGUGCUUGCACACCGUGUUUUCUUGAGUCGCGAACGGGUGAGUAACGCGUAGGUAACCUGCCUAUUAGCGGUGGAUAACUAUUGGAAACGAUAGCUAAUACCGCAUAAUAUUCAUUAUUGCAUGAUAAUUGAUUGAAAGAUGCAAGCGCAUCACUAGUAGAUGGACCUGCGUUGUAUUAGCUAGUUGGUAAGGUAAGAGCUUACCAAGGCGACGAUACAUAGCCGACCUGAGAGGGGGAUCGGCCACACUGGGACGGAGACAAGGCCCAGACUCCUACGGGAGGCAGCAGUAGGGAAUCUUCGGGAAGGGACGAAAGUCUGACCGAGCAACGCCGCGGGAGUGAAGAAGGUUGUCGGAUCGUAAAGCUCUGUUGUAAGUCAAGAACGUGUGUGAGAGUGGAAAGUUCACACAGUGACGGUAGCUUACCAGAAAGGGACGGCUAACUACGUG